rnacentral:rRNA from 1 species
AUUGAACGCUGGCGGCAUGCCUUACACAUGCAAGUCGAACGGCAGCGGGCCUUCGGGUGCCGGCGAGUGGCGAACGGGUGAGUAAUGCAUCGGAACGUGCCAUUGAGUGGGGGAUAACGUAGCGAAAGUUACGCUAAUACCGCAUAUUCUGUGAGCAGGAAAGCAGGGGAUCGCAAGACCUUGCGCUCUGGGAGCGGCCGAUGUCGGAUUAGCUAGUUGGUGGGGUAAAGGCCUACCAAGGCGACGAUCCGUAGCGGGUCUGAGAGGAUGAUCCGCCACACUGGGACUGAGACACGGCCCAGACUCCUACGGGAGGCAGCAGUGGGGAAUUUUGGACAAUGGGCGAAAGCCUGAUCCAGCCAUGCCGCGUGAGUGAAGAAGGCCUUC